rnacentral:rRNA from 1 species
GCAGUAUAUUGACUGUGCGAAGGUAGCAUAAUCAUUUGUCUUUUAAUUGAAGGCUUGUAUGAAUGGUUGAAUGAAAGAAUGACUUUCUUUGUAUUAUUAAAAUUGAAUUUAAUUUUUUGGUUAAAAAGCUAAAAUUUAAAAAUGGGACGAGAAGACCCUAUAGAAUUUUAUUUAUUAUGGAUUUUUUAUUGUUAUGGUUAGUUUUAUGUAAGGAAUUUAUUGUAAAUUUUGUUGGGGUGACAGUAAGAAUUUUAACUCUUAUAAAUAAUUAAUUAUUAAUUGAUAUGUUUAAGAUCCUGUUUUUACGGAUAAUUAGAUUAAAUUACCUUAGGGAUAACAGCGUGAUUUCUUUGGAGAGUUCAUAUCGAUAAAGUAGUUUGCGACCUCGAUGUUGGAUUAAAAUUAGAUUUAAGUGCAGUAGCUUAAUUUCUAGGUCUGUUCGACCUUUAAAUUUUUACGUGAUCUGAGUUCA